GUCUACAGCCGUGCCACCCUGAACAAGCCUGAUCCUGUCUGAUCUCGGAAGCUAAGCAGUGUCAAGUUUGAUUAGUACUUGGAUGGGAGACCACCUAGGAAGACUGGGUGCUGUAGGCC
rnacentral:rRNA from 1 species